AUUUGUGCUUAUUCUAAGCAUGUUGCACUCUAGAAGACUGAGUCACGCAGAGAGCAGAACUCACUCAAAGUUAGUAGUUUAUUUCGGAAGCUAAGCAGGGUCUGGGCCUGGUUAGUACUUGGAUGGGAGACCAACUAGGAAGACCAGGUGCUGUAGGCG
rnacentral:rRNA from 1 species